rnacentral:rRNA from 1 species
AUGGCCGGCCUCGCUCACCCGGGAGACCAAGCUCGGUUUCGAGCGGUAUGCCGCUCAUGGCGCUCGGUCCCGUCUCCACGCAAGCUACCCAUGAUCGUGCUCCCGACUGGCUUCUUGUUGCUCUGCUUGCACAACGGCUUCCACAGGAUCGAACCCUUCCCAGAGCACGACCGCUGCAUCGGCUCCACCGACACCUUCCUUGCUAUCGACAAGACUGAUGAUCAGAACAGGCAUACCUACAAGCUGCUUAACCCUUGCUCAAAGACGUUGGUGGAACUCCCGGAGCUCGACGAAAUCGUUGGCAAUGUUGUUUCCGAGUCGUUUGAGAUCCACAAAGUGCUCAUGCAGUCAUCAGGUCCUGGUCACUAUGCCGACGGUCUCAUCGCUGUAAGGACCAACAACCGUAUUCAUCCCAUCAUCUUACUAAAGCCAGGUAAGGGCGUGUGGUUGCCCCCGCCGCGAUCAAAACCCUUCACCCGUAUCAUCGACGUCGCGUUUCUUGAAGACACACUCUAUGCCAUCACACAGGCUGAGAACCUCAUCUCCUUCGGCGUCGCCUUUGAUACCAAUGGCAUACCCACGGUGACCAGCAUUAAGCGUGUCAUCACAGGCCCGAUUACCGAUGUUUUUGCGAAAGAGAAACAUGCAUCGAGAAAGAGAAUUGGCGACUACAUAAUCAAUGACGGUAUGCACUUUGCAUAUGACGACGAGAGACCUCACGUUGAUAUCGUCACCAUCUGGUACCUGGUCGAGUCGCAUGGCAAGUUGUUUAUGGUGAGGCGUGAGACUGAGAUGCAACAUCCUCGCUACAUUCACAGUUUAACUCGGAAGGUGGAGGUGUUUGAGGCGGACAUCAGUGCAAACAAGUGGGUGUCUGUGUCGAGUGGGCUACAUGGUCGUGCGUUUUUUCUCAGCAAACGCUCAAGCAAGUCUGUUCAUGCGGGUGAUGAGAUACAAGAGGAUGCUAUUUAUUUUAUUGACACAGGCGAAGUCUUUAACGUGAAAUCCAAGACUACAAGCCCACGAGAUAAAUCUGUUGAUUUGUGUGCGACAUGGCUCUUUUAUCCGGGUUCCUUUUAA